GUUGACCCAAUCCUUGCACACCACAAUGGCCCAUUUCCGCUUCCGUGUCCUCGGUUGCACUCUGUGGUAUCACGCUGCAAAAGCAUCCAGGAAAAUGGCAAAAUUAAGUAAAUGGACCAAACAGCGGCUGCAGCAACUGUUCCAGUGUGGACAAUUCGUUAUCCGAUGGGGAUUUAUCCCUACAGUGCUGUACUUGGGCUUCAAACGAGGAGCAGAUCCAGGAAUACCGGAGCCUUCAGUCUUGGGCUAUGACUUGAACACAUUGAAAACAUUUCACCCCAAAAUGAACGAAUCUCAUGCCAAAUAAAUAUUUGAUGAUGAGCUGUUAAACUGGUAUCAAAGGGCAAAUGGCCGGUGUUGCAAUGCGUGCGUGUGGAAAGAUACCACUGAAUUGUUGGCAUAAUUCGAAGGAACUGCUGACAAGUGGCAACACUGAUUUGCGUCAUCCACUGCUUCUGUGUCAGCGUUUUCUCUCAUGUGUCUGUCUGUGCAUUAAAACUGAGAGAUGAAUAGAUUUCAA